UAUCACUUUGAAAAACUUGUUCUCGUCCGGUCAUUGAAGUUAAGAAAUGUCAAGCCUGGUCAGUACUUAGAUGGGUGACCGCUUGGGAAUAGCAGAUGUUGUAAG